CCUGCCCGGUGACUUAUGUUCAACGGCCGCGGUAUCCUAACCGUGCAAAGGUAGCAUAAUCACUUGCCCAUUAAUUGUGGGCUAGAAUGAACGGACCAACGAAAUAAAAACUGUCUCUAUAAGACCAAUAAAAAUUAAUCUCUAACUGAAGAGUGUUAGAUUCUAUCGAAGGACAAGAAGACCCUAUAGAGCUUUAUCCCCAUAAAAAGUUUUUUUAAGCGGAUUCGGUUGGGGCGACCCGGGAAAAUAAUUAAUCAUCCCUCUUUAACAGAUUAAUAAAUCUCAAUCUUGACCCUUAAUAAAGAUCACAAGACCAAGCUACCUUAGGGAUAACAGGCUAAUCUCACUAAAGAGUCCUUAUCAAUAGUGGGGUUUGGCACCUCGAUGUUGGCUUAGGGAAUCUACAUGACGCAAAAGUCAUAUAAAGAUGGUUUGUUCAACCAAUAACCCCUACAUGAGCUGAGUUCAGACCGGCGUAAGCCAGGUUAGUUUCUAUCCUCGAUAUUAUAGCCUAUUUAUAGUACGAAAGGACCUAAAUAAGGGUAAUAAUUACACAUAAAGAACUAAUAUAAUACAAGUUAAAAGAAAAUAUACAUAAAAUA
rnacentral:rRNA from 1 species